UCCGUAGGCGGACUUAUAAGUCAGUGGUGAAAGCCUGUCGCUUAACGAUAGAACUGCCAUUGAUACUGUAAGUCUUGAGUAUAUUUGAGGUAGCUGGAAUAAGUAGUGUAGCGGUGAAAUGCAUAGAUAUUACUUAGAACACCAAUUGCGAAGGCAGGUUACCAAGAUAUAACUGACGCUGAGGGACGAAAGCGUGGGAGCGAACA
rnacentral:rRNA from 1 species